rnacentral:rRNA from 1 species
UACGGAGGGUGCAAGCGUUGCUCGGAAUUAUUGGGCGUAAAGGGCGUGUAGGCGGCCAGAUAAGUCAGAGGUGAAAGCCCGGGGCUCAACCCCGGAAGUGCCUUUGAAACUAUUUGGCUUGAGUGCGGGAGAGGAAAGCGGAAUUCCCAGUGUAGAGGUGAAAUUCGUAGAUAUUGGGAGGAACACCGGUGGCGAAGUCGGCUUUCUGGACCGACACUGACGCUGAGGCGCGAAAGCGUGGGGAGCAAACAGG